UUUGCCAAGGUUCUGCAUUGUGUCUGUGCAGAACCCAUGCCUGGACCAUAGCUUCCUGGCCUCUGCUUCAUUGUGAUCUGAACAUUCUAGAACAUAUCCACCUCCCAUGGUCACAUUCCAGACCCAGUCCCAGUGGAGGGAUGGGAUAUCUUUCCUCCUCCUAGUGUCCUUGAGGCAGGCAAGCUUAGAGGUAUCUUAGCAACCUGGGGAGUCUACUUGACUCAGGCUACGCACUCACUCAUCUCCUAACAAUGCAUCUAGAAUCCCAGGACUCUGUAUCGAGCUGCGUGUACACCCCACUUCAAACAGUGGGAUAAGUCUCUUCCCCCUUAACGUAUCCUCUGUCAAUCACCCCCUAAAGAAAGAUCUGUCCCAUUUAACGGUUCCUGCCCAUGUCAGUCAGCUGUCUGUUGUGAAACACAGAACCUGAGUUGGUCAAACUCAUAAGGAAGAAAGGUUUGCCCUGGCUUACAGUUUCCGAAGCUUCAGUCCGUGCUCACUUGGCCUCACUGCUUUGGACCUGUGGCGGUAAGGAGUGGGCAGCCAGGAAAGUGUCAGAGGAAGAGAGCUGACAUUCCCAACAUCACAGCUGGAAUGUCUCUAACAAACAAGGUCACCCAGCCAUCAAAGCCAUUCAUCAAACAAGGCCAUAUGUUUUUGAUUAUUUCUGUCCUGGCUGGUGAAAUGCACCUAUUACCAGAGAGGACAGCGAGGCUGCAGAUACCAGCACAAUGGACAGCAAGCAGGCUCCUCACAGCCCUGGGAUCUUAUGCAGGUAAAUGGAGAAGACAAGGCAGAAGUGGACCACAUGCGAGAGCGGAUUGAGCCAGCCUGACACACUCAGCAAUGCCCCCCCUCCUCAGAAUGGUUACCUUUCUUUCCAACGCAGUGGGAAAAGCUCUGUCCCCUUGGUGGGAGGUAAACCCCAUAGCCAUCACUAAGUCAAGCCUCCUCUAAAACUUAAGAAAAUCUUCAGUGAAAACUAGUUUUGGAUUCUCCAAUACCCCUAAGACUGCUAUUCUUUAUGGGUACAGACCAAUCCCUACUUAUCUUUCACUUCCUAAAGUAAAUAUUUAUCUAAUUUAA